rnacentral:hammerhead_ribozyme from 1 species
GAGUCCCAAAUAGGACGAAAUGUGCAUCCUGGAU